rnacentral:rRNA from 1 species
AUUGAACGCUGGCGGCAGGCUUAACACAUGCAAGUCGAACGGUAACAUAAAGAAGCUUGCUUCUUUGAUGACGAGUGGCGGACGGGUGAGUAAUGCUUGGGAAUCUAGCUUAUGGAGGGGGAUAACUACGGGAAACUGUAGCUAAUACCGCGUAGAAUCGGGAGAUGAGAGUGUGGGACCUUCGGGCCACAUGCCAUAGGAUGAGCCCAAGUGGGAUUAGGUAGUUGGUGAGGUAAAGGCUCACCAAGCCGACGAUCUCUAGCUGGUCUGAGAGGAUGACCAGCCACACUGGGACUGAGACACGGCCCAGACUCCUACGGGAGGCAGCAGUGGGGAAUAUUGCGCAAUGGGGGCAACCCUGACGCAGCCAUGCCGCGUGAAUGAAGAAGGCCUUCGGGUUGUAAAGUUCUUUCGGUAGCGAGGAAGGCAUUUAGUUUAAUA